rnacentral:rRNA from 1 species
AUUGAACGCUGGCGGCAGGCCUAACACAUGCAAGUCGAGCGGAGCGGCGGACGGGUGAGUAAUGCCUAGGAGUAGGCCUGGUAGUGGGGGAAAAAGUACGGAAACGGGAGCCAAUACCGCAUACUAUCAGAUGAGACUAGGGCGGAUUAGCUAGUUGGAGGGGUAAAGGCCUACCAAGGCGACGAUCCGUAACUGGUCGUAGAGGAUGAUCAGUCACACUGGAACGGAGACACGGUCCAGACUCCUACGGGAGGCAGCAGUGGGGAUGAUUCGACAAGGGGCGAAAGCCUGAUCGAGCCAUGCCGGGUGUGUGAAGAAGGUCUUCGGAUUGUAAAGCACUUUAAUUUGGGAGGCGUUACCAACAGAGUAAGCACCGGCUAACUUCGUGCCAGCAGCCGCGGUAAUUC